CCACUUGAGCUCGAGGAGAUCAUCUCCUACAUGCUGCGUGGACUAGACCCUGAAUACGACCCACUAGUGACCAGCAUCACCACACGUGCUGAUACGGUCAUGGUGAGUGACCUUUAUGCCCACGUGUUGAGCUUUGAGU